AGCUCCAGUAGCGUAUAUUAAAGUUGUUGCAGUUAAAAAGCUCGUAGUUGGAUUUCUGGCACGACGGGGGCUGAUCCGGCGCUUCGCGCUGAGCUGUCGGCUUCUGUCUGCCAUCCUUCCAGAAAACUUCUCUACCCUUCAUUGGGCUUGGGGGAGCGAUCUGGAACUUUUACUUUGAAAAAAUUAGAGUGUUCAAAGCAGGCUUGCGCUAUGAAUACAUUAGCAUGGAAUAAUAAUCUAGGACUUCGGUUCUAUUUUGUUGGUUUCUAGGACUGAAGUAAUGAUUGAUAGGGAUAGUUGGGGGUGCUAGUAUUCAGCGGCCAGAGGUGAAAUUCUUGGAUUCGCUGAAGACUAACUUAUGCGAAAGCAUUCACCAAGGAUGUCUUCUUUAAUCAAGAAC
rnacentral:rRNA from 1 species